UACGUAGGGUGCAAGCGGUGUCCGGAAUUAUUGGGCGUAAAGGGCUCGUAGGCGGUCCAUGACGUCGGGAGUGAAAAGCUGGGGCUUAACCCCAGUCCUGCUUCCGAUACGGGUGGACUAGAGGUAGGCAGGGGAGAACGGAAUUCCUGGUGUAGCGGUGAAAUGCGUAGAUAUCAGGAGGAACACCUGCGGUGUAGACGGCUUUCUGGACCAUUGCUGACGCUGAGACACGAAAGCGUGGGUAGCAAACAGG
rnacentral:rRNA from 1 species